rnacentral:lncRNA from 1 species
GUCAUGUUGCAAGCAGGCAACAACUGGCACCCAAACAGGGAUCUGACAGGUUGAUGGGUGUUCAGCUGACCAGUGGCAAGCCCCACUGACCUCAAGACUGCUGAAAGGAAGGAGCAUCAGGUCUGCUGCAAGGAAGCAAGACCAGCCACACCGCAUCAUCAUCUCUGCUGCACAGAGCAAGAUCCUCAAGUAAGGAAAAAGUAGACACAAACACAAGGAAGCAGAGACAUUGGAACCAAAUCCUGGAAGAAGUACGAGGGCUACUCUGAAAGUAAUGUCUCCUUCUAUUGUUGGUCCAUCAUACAAGAGGAAGAUGUUGGUGCUCUGGAAGUAGGUGUAGAGCAAUCCUGCCAAUAUUCCAUUACAUUUUGUUCUGUGCAGCAGAGGGGCAGUCUGACAAAAUGGAAUCUAACAUGGAAGUGCAUACGAAGCAAAAGUCUGGAAUUGAAUUCUCCCACAUGGAAAAAAUGCCACCCACUGACACUCACCAAUGCUUGCUGAAUGCUUAUUGAGACCAAACAGAGGAUAUCAGCACAGUGAAAGAUGGACUGCAUGGGCAAGAUUUUCCUAGCAACUAUAUGGUUGUAGCAGCUGUAAUAUAUUGGGUCACCUCCUCUGGUGCAGAUUUUUGCAAACACAUGCAGGCUCUUGCUCAUCACUGGCAAAAAUGUAUAUGAAUGGGACUAUGUUGAAAAAACAGUGUUUUGUAGUUGAGAAUUUUCUCUACCAGGUAGUAUUAUUAUGAUUUUUGUAUCUGUUGUAAUUUCCAUGGAAAUAAAUAGGAGGCAUUAGUUUUAGAGCA